UACGGAGGGAGCUAGCGUUGUUCGGAAUUACUGGGCGUAAAGCGCGCGCAGGCGGCUAUCCAAGUCAGUGGUGAAAGCCCGGAGCUCAACUCCGGAACUGCCAUUGAAACUGUUUAGCUUGAGUAUGAGAGAGGUGAGUGGAAUUCCCAGUGUAGAGGUGAAAUUCGUAGAUAUUGGGAAGAACACCGGUGGCGAAGGCGGCUCACUGGCUCAUUACUGACGCUCAGGCGCGACAGCGUGGGGAUCAAACAGG
rnacentral:rRNA from 1 species